rnacentral:misc_RNA from 1 species
AAGUCGUAACAAGGUUUCCGUAGGUGAACCUGCGGAAGGAUCAUUAAAAAUAUAGCAAACCGAGCUAUUAGCGAGGUUUUGCGAUCAAAUGUAAUUAAAACCCAACUCUUUGAAUCAAUAAACUUUAUGUAUAUUAAAUAAUAAAAGAUCACUUUCAACAACGGAUCUCUUGGCUCUC